rnacentral:ncRNA from 1 species
UUCUGCGAAACCUAUUUAGGUAGGGCCUUUAUUUACACUUUUAUAUGUACAGCACUGAUCAUCAUACAUUAGCUAGAUGUUUCUACAUCACUAUGUUAAAUUGGGGGGUUUCACAACUCUACCAUUGAUGGUUAACCUCGGAAGGAUAAUAGUGAAUGAUAAGGGCACAGUCUAUUCAUGAUAAGGUGGAUAGACAAAAGGGAAACAGCCCAGAGCACGUGUUAAGGUCCCAAAAUAUUGUUAAGUGAAUAUAAGAAAGUUUAACUCCUAAUACAACCAUGAAGUAGGCUUGGAGGUACGGGGAGACCGUCAGUGCCUCAAUAGUAAGUGAUUACUAUUAUAGUACCAACUCAAAACGGUGAAGCCUAAGGUUUAAUUGAUUAAUUAAAUUAUGGUAAUACCGUGGGUAAGUCGUAUCAUCGUAGAGAUUCUAAAAA